GCCCGGCUAGCUCAGUCGGUAGAGCAUGAGACUCUUAAUCUCAGAGUCGUGGGUUGGAGCCCCACGCUGGGUA